rnacentral:rRNA from 1 species
UACGUAGGUGACCAGCGUUGUCCGGAUUUACUGGGCGUAAAGAGCGCGCAGGCGGUCGUUCAAGUCGAGUGUGAAAGCCCCCGGCUCAACUGGGGAGGGUCAUUCGAUACUGAUCGACUCGAAGGCAGGAGAGGGAAGUGGAAUUCCCGGUGUAGUGGUGAAAUGCGUAGAUAUCGGGAGGAACACCAGUGGCGAAGGCGACUCACUGGACCGGCAUUGACGCUGAGGUGCGAAAGCGUGGGGAGCAAACAGGG